rnacentral:lncRNA from 1 species
UAUAUAUACAUAUAUAUAGAGCAGGGCUGUUGUGCUCUCAGGAGCACGGAGACCUCCGUGCUCCUGAGCCGUUUUCGAUGAUGGAGUUUUCGAAUCGACGAUCGGCUCCGUUAAACUUGAUCUAGCGCAUUUAAAGUUUCUAGAAAAUAAUUUUUGCGAUUUUUCGAUAUCAUUUACCUAGCAAUCGAAAGGAUUCAAAAUCAAUAAUUUUUAACGGCUGAAAAUAAAAAUACUAUAAAAAGUAGUGAUAUAGCACUAAAAUUUUCGAUCAGAAAUAUAGAUCUUGUUGUAGAUAGUAUAAAGAAUUUUCUAUCAAAAUUUCAUCUGAUUUGAAUACUUCUACACCGUUAAACUUGAAAACGGCAAAUAUCAACCAUUAAAAAUUAUGGAUUUUGAAUCCUUUCGAUCACUAGGUAAAUGAUAUCGAAAAAUCGCAAAAAAUAUUUUCUAGAAACUUCAAAUGCGCUAGAUCAAGUCUAACGGAGCCGAUCGUCGAUUCGAAAAUUCCAUCAUCGAAAACGGCUCAGGAGCACGGAGGCCUCCGUGCUCCUGAGAGCACAGCAGCACUGCUCCAUAUAUAUAUAUAUAUAUAUAUUAUAGGGAAAACUUCAAAUACCCCUCUUGUACAUGGUUUCACUCUUUCUCACUUUAGUACCCUGUGGUUUAAAGUGUAUCAAGUUAGUACCCUAUGGUUUCGCACUUUCUCACAAUAGUACCCUGUGGUUUUGCACUUUCUCACUUUAGUACCAUGUAGUUUACUAUUUCAUUAAGAGAAAAAUAAAAUCACAUGGUACUAACUUGAUACAAAAAUAAAACCACAGGGUACUAACUUGAUACAAAAAUAAAACCACAGAGUACGUACUAACUUGAUACACUUUAAACCACAGAGUACUAAAGUGAGAAAGUGUGAACCACAUGGUACUAACUUGAUACAUUUUAAAUUACAUGAUACUAAAAUGAAAAAGUGCGAAAUCACACGGAGUUUUUCAAAGUUUUUCCUACAUUAUAUUAGU